rnacentral:rRNA from 1 species
ACGGAAGGCAGCAGUGGGGAAUAUUGGGCAAUGGGCGAAAGCCUGACCCAGCGACGCCGCGUGAGGGAAGAAGGACCUCGGGUUGUAAACUUCUGUAGACAGGGACGAAGAAAUGACGGUACCUGUAAAGUAAGCCACGGCUAAAUACGUGCCAGCAGCCGCGGUAAUACGUAGGUGGCGAGCGUUAUCCGGAUUUACUGGGUGUAAAGGGUGUGUAGGCGGAGGAUCAAGUCAGAUGUGAAAAUUAUGGGCUCAACUCAUAACUUGCAUUUGAAACUGAUCUCCUUGAGUGUGGGAGAGGUAAAUGGAAUUCCCAGUGUAGCGGUGAAAUGCGUAGAUAUUGGGAGGAACACCAGUGGCGAAGGCGGUUUACUGGACCACAACUGACGCUGAGACACGAAAGCGUGGGGAGCAAACAGGAUUAGAUACCCUGGUA